UCGAAGACUAUGCAGUACGCAAUAAGUGCAAUGCGGUGAAAGAGACGUUCCUACUAACAUUACAGUUAACGUGUGUUUCGUAAACGCGAGUUAGUUUCAGGAAGUGACUCUUUCUCGAUAUUUUAGUACCUGUAACAAUCAUGUGAAUCCAAACAGAUCAUUCUUUUGACAAGGGCAAGUGUCUUCAAAUAUUGGGAAUACCUACUUCUGUGGUGAACAUUUUCCUUAAAGAGAUUUUAUUGGCAGUGGUUGUGGUCAUUAUUACCAUGAAACAAUUGAAUAUUCGAAAGGAGAAUUUCGACUAGACAUG